GACGAACGCUGGCGGCGUGCUUAACACAUGCAAGUCGAACGGAAAGGCCCUGCUUUUGUGGGGUGCUCGAGUGGCGAACGGGUGAGUAACACGUGAGUAACCUGCCCUUGACUUUGGGAUAACUUCAGGAAACUGGGGCUAAUACCGGAUAGGAGCUCCUGCUGCAUGGUGGGGGUUGGAAAGUUUCGGCGGUUGGGGAUGGACUCGCGGCUUAUCAGCUUGUUGGUGGGGUAGUGGCUUACCAAGGCUUUGACGGGUAGCCGGCCUGAGAGGGUGACCGGCCACAUUGGGACUGAGAUACGGCCCAGACUUCUACGGGAGGCAGCAGUGGGGAAUAUUGCACAAUGGGCGGAAGCCUGAUGCAGCAACGCCGCGUGCGGGAUGACGGCCUUCGGGUUGUAAACCGCUUUCGCCUGUGACGAAGCGUGAGUGACGGUAAUGGGUAAAGAAGCACCGGCGAACUACGU
rnacentral:rRNA from 1 species